rnacentral:rRNA from 1 species
UACGUAGGGUGCAAGCGUUGUCCGGAAUUAUUGGGCGUAAAGAGCUCGUAGGCGGUCUGUCGCGUCGGCUGUGAAAACCCGGGGCUCAACCCCGGGCCUGCAGUCGAUACGGGCAGACUAGAGUGCGGUAGGGGAGACUGGAAUUCCUGGUGGUAGCGGUGAAAUGCGCAGAUAUCAGGAGGAACACCGGUGGCGAAGGCGGAUCUCUGGGCCAUUACUGACGCUGAGGAGCGAAAGCAUGGGGAGCGAACAGG